rnacentral:rRNA from 1 species
GCAAAACGCGAAGAACCUUACCAGCCCUUGACAUGGCGUCUAAAUCCCGGUGUGAGCUGGGGCUCCCGCAAGGGGGGCGUCACAGGUGCUGCAUGGCUGUCGUCAGCUCGUGUCGUGAGAUGUUGGGUUAAGUCCCGCAACGAGCGCAACCCUUGCCUUUAGUUGCCAUCGGGUAGGGCCGGGCACUCUAAAGGAACUGCCGGUGACAAGCCGGAGGAAGGUGGGGAUGACGUCAAGUCCUCAUGGCCCUUAUGGGCUGGGCUACACACGUGCUACAAUGGCGGUGACAAUGGGCAGCGAAAGAGCGAUCUGGAGCUAAUCCCCAAAAGCCGUCUCAGUUCGGAUCGCGGGCUGCAACUCGCCCGCGUGAAGGUGGAAUCGCUAGUAAUCGUGGAUCAGCAUGCCACGGUGAAUACGUUCCCGGGUCUUGUACACACCG